rnacentral:rRNA from 1 species
CAUUCACGGAGAGUUUGAUCCUGGCUCAGGACGAACGCUGGCGGCGUGCUUAACACAUGCAAGUCGAACGAUGAACCCGCUUCGG